rfam:Acyrthosiphon pisum strain LSR1 Contig26614, whole genome shotgun sequence.
AAAAAGGUCUUUUUCAAGACCACCAAAACAACGGUUCACCAAGCG